rnacentral:rRNA from 1 species
GAUGAACGCUAGCGAUAGGCUUAACACAUGCAAGUCGAGGGGCAGCAUGGUCUUAGCUUGCUAAGACUGAUGGCGACCGGCGCACGGGUGCGUAACGCGUAUGCAACUUGCCUCACAGAGGGGGAUAACCCGUCGAAAGACGGACUAAUACCGCGUACACUCCAUCUUGGCCAUCCACGUUAGAGGAAAUGAAAUUCGCUGUGAGUUAGUCAUCCGUCCCAUUAGCUGUUUGGUGAGUUAACGGCUCACCAAGGCGACGAUGGGUAGGGGAACUCACAGGUUGGACCCCCGGAUGAGUACUGGGACACGGACCAGAGUACUACGGGAGGCAGCAGUGAGGAAUAUUGGGCAAUGGGCGAGAGCCUGAACCAGCCAAGUCGAGUGAAGGAUGACUGUCUUAUGGAUUGUAAGCUUCUUUUAUACGGGAAUAACAAGAGUCACGUGUGACUCCAUGCAGGUACCGUAUGAAUAAGCAUCGGCUAACUCCGUG